AAUAAGUGCAGCCGUGAAUAUCCGUGUCUAACAUUUGACCGUCCGUCUUAUUUGAAAAAUUUUUGAAAAAAAUAAAAAAAAUUAGUCACACAUAAAGUAUUAUUCAUAUUUUAUCAUCAAAUAGCAAUAAAAAUACUAAUCAUAAAAAAUUUUUAAAUAAGACGAACGAUCAAAUAUUGAACGUGAAUAGUGUAAAACUACACUUAUU
rnacentral:pre_miRNA from 1 species